AAAAAAAAAAAAAGAAAAAAGUUUUGGCGGUUAAAUCAAUCCGGAUCCUCUAGACUGCAGUCAUUUUUCAUUUUCAAGAGGAAUCAUUUCAGCUUCAGUAGGCAACUAUAAAGAGGGCAGGACCUGGUCAGACCUCCAGUCAGAUGCAGAAGUGUCUGGACAAAGACUACUAAGCCAUGCUGAGGGAGGUGUUGACUAUAUUAGAGAUGGUGCUGGACCCACAAACCACUGAGAUUGCUUCAACUACAGGAGUUCCAGGUGCAGCCUUUGGUUAUUGAGGAAGGUUUAUUGCCCCUGCAAGACCUUCAUCAACAGUGUAGCCUGGAGCAAAGGAUGCAACAGAGCCCAGAUUACAAGCAAAAACUGGUAAACUGGUUGGUGCUUAUUGACGGGGCGGAUGUGUGUGACUGCACCUGGCGCAUAUUGAAGAGGGUGAUUGCCAACUCCCUGGCAAAGACCCUCAAUUGGAAGGGAGUCAAUGGAAAGACUUUUGACUCCCUUCCAAUGGCCACUUUGGCCACUCUCCAACUCGGAGAGGUUGUGAUUGCUGCAGUUCAAAGAAACCUCUUCACGGCUAAUGCUUCUGAGAUGGAGGUCGAGGGGACCAUGAAGAGAUGGCUCCAGCUGGCAUCAGAUUGAGAGUGUGGGCGCAUGAGUAGACUUUUGCAAAAGGAAGGUGUUUAGUGUUUUAACGGUGGUGUGUUGUUUUUUU
ensembl:lncRNA